CCUACGGGAGGCAGCAGUGGGGAAUUUUCCGCAAUGGGCGAAAGCCUGACGGAGCAAUACCGCGUGAGGGAAGACUGCCUAUGGGUUGUAAACCUCUUUUUUCAGGGAGGAAUAAAUGACGUUACCUGAAGAAUAAGCAUCGGCUAACUCCGUGCCAGCAGCCGCGGUAAU
rnacentral:rRNA from 1 species